rnacentral:sRNA from 1 species
UUGAUGUGUUCUGUGUCAUGUGUCCUUUAAUUUAUUAGCAUUUUCGUGAUUGUUUUGUUGAUAGUAUAAGGUAUUUUUUUAAAGCAACACUAACUUAUCGAGAAUUAAGACUAUCUUUAUCAAUGGACUCUUACAUGUAGUUCUAAACAAUUUUGAUAUAUAACAUAAUGUUUAAAUAUUAGAAAGGCUCUUACAAAAGAAGAGAAUAAGAUCAUCUUUGUCAAUGGACUCUUACAUGUAGUUCUAAACAAUUUUGAUAUAUAACAUAAUGUUUAAAUAUUAGAAAGGCUCUUACAAAAGAAGAGAAUAAGGAAAAAAACUCUUAGCUAAGAGCCAUUUUUCAUCUCUUAAGCACACUUUUUUAUUUUUUUUAUUUUUAUUUUGUUUAAUAUAAUAUUUUGAUAGUUCUUAUGAUAUUGUUAACAACCUAUUGAUAAUGAUGCUCUAAGGAAGAAAACUCUUAGCUAAGAGCCAUUUUUCAUCUCUUAAGCACACUUUUUUAUUUUUUUAUUCUUAUUUUGUUU